UAGGGANUCUUCGGCAAUGGACGAAAGUCUGGCCGAGCAACGCCGCGUGAGUGAAGAAGGUUUUCGGAUCGUAAAGCUCUGUUGUAAGAGAAGAACGGGUGUGAGAGUGGAAAGUUCACACUGUGACGGUAUCUUACCAGAAAGGGACGGCUAACUACGUGCCAGCAGCCGCGGUAAUACGUAGGUCCCGAGCGUUGUCCGGAUUUAUUGGGCGUAAAGCGAGCGCAGGCGGUUAGAUAAGUCUGAAGUUAAAGGCUGUGGCUUAACCAUAGUACGCUUUGGAAACUGUUUAACUUGAGUGCAGAGGGGGAGAGUGGAAUUCCAUGUGUAGCGGUGAAAUGCGUAGAUAUAUGGAGGAACACCGGUGGCGAAAGCGGCUCUCUGGUCUGUAACUGACGCUGAGGCUCGAAAGCGUGGGGAGCGAACAGGAUUAGAUACCCUGGUAGUCCACGCCGUNNCGAUGAGUGCUAGGUGUUAGGCCCUUUCCGGGGCUUAGUGCCGCAGCUAACGCAUUAAGCACUCCGCCUGGGGAGUACGACCGCAAGGNUG
rnacentral:rRNA from 1 species